UACGUAGGGUGCGAGCGUUGUCCGGAAUUAUUGGGCGUAAAGAGCUCGUAGGCGGUCUGUCGCGUCGGCUGUGAAAACCCGGACGCUCAACUCCGGGCCUGCAGUCGAUACGGGCAGACUGGAGUUCGGCAGGGGAGACUGGAAUUCCUGGUGUAGCGGUGAAAUGCGCAGAUAUCAGGAGGAACACCGGUGGCGAAGGCGGGUCUCUGGGCCGAUACUGACGCUGAGGAGCGAAAGCGUGGGGAGCGAACAGG
rnacentral:rRNA from 1 species